CGUCAAGUCAUCAUGGCCCUUACGAGUAGGGCUACACACGUGCUACAAUGGUCGGUACAGAGGGUUGCCAAGCCGCGAGGUGGAGCUAAUCCCAUAAAACCGAUCGUAGUCCGGAUCGCAGUCUGCAACUCGACUGCGUGAAGUCGGAAUCGCUAGUAAUCGUGGAUCAGAAUGCCACGGUGAAUACGUUCCCGGGCCUUG
rnacentral:rRNA from 15 species